CUCUCCCAGCACAUGAAGCAAACAUGACUAGCGUUCCUCUCAGUGUUUAUGUUUCUCUAGUUUGCCUCACAGCCGUCUGUCUUGGUAAAACUGUUCUCCAGUCUCCCGGUGACUUCAUCAAGAAUCAAGAUGAAUCUGCUGUGAUCAUAUGUGCACACAAAAUACAGAGCUAUGACCGAAUAUUAUGGUACAAACAAAGUCAGGACACGUCGGGACUCAAGUUAAUGGGAUACCUUUAUUUUAAGGAUGAAACUAAAGAGACUGAAUUUAAAAACAAGAUCAAAUUGGAAGGAGAUGCACAAAAAAAUGGCAGUUUGACUAUCAAGAAGCUCACGCUGAAUGACAGCGCAGUGUAUUUCUGUGCAGCAUAUUACACAGUGUUCACAAUCACCUCUGACUCAUACAAAAACCUCCUCUUUUAAACCUCCUGUUUCUGUGGCAAGAGUUUUUAUUCACGUUCCUCUUCACACCUGUGGAUUC